UUUUUUCCAAUAGAUUUAAAGUGCGUGAAAAAAAAAAGAGAGGCCACACACGAUGCCUCGAAGUUUGGAAGAUGCAUGAAGGACAACGAAUUUCUAUUCCUAUUAGCACUUUAAGACAGCCCAUUGGGACAAUGUUAGCAAGCUAACAAACUUCAUGGGGACAAUAACACGCAAUGGGGAAUAUGCACCCCCUUACGUUUACUGAUUAGAGGGCAGUGUCAGAUGAGAGGAAGAAUGACAUGUGGGGACUUGUCAUGUCCAAGUUUGAGUUUGACGCAGAUGCGAAGUCUUGGGUGUUAAAAUCAAUUGGUAAAAAAUGGAGGGAUUGGAAGAGUGAGCUGAAAAAACUCCACUACUUACUUCAUGAGACUGACGAGGAGCGGCUCGUAACCUUGAUGAGCGGGCCCAAGAGGAUCAGUGGAGACCCUCAUUCAGUUUUGGAAGUUUGAAGAGGGGAAGGCUCAUAUUAAGACAAAUAUGGAGAAUCAGAAAAAAUAACUAAUCGGCCACGCUGUAGGCUCAAAGAGCUUUGCGCGGAUACAUGAGGAAGAGAGGAAGAAGAAGGUCAAUGGGGAGGAUUCGAGCCGGGCAGAUAUGUUCAUAUUGACUCAUACGUGCAAGAAUGAGAGGCUUGUGGAUGGAGCUUCAUUAAUAGCAAUGGAACAACUCAAUGAACGGAUUUCUCAGUAGCCCAAUACCUCGCAGAAUAGCACGGCAAUGAAUGAUGUAUUCUCUAAAGUAAUGGAAGAAGAUUGACAUGACUGAGUCCGCACUUACGGGUUAGGUCCCUCUCCGUCUGAUUUGUGGGGAACAAUUUAAUUGCAGGAACAACUCAAUGAAUGGAUUUCUUAGUAGCCCAAUACCUCACAGAAUAGCACGGCAAGGAAUGAUGUAUUCUCUGAAGUAAUGGAAGAAGAUUGACAUGACCGAGUCCGCACUUACGAGUUAGGUCCCUCUCCGUCUGAUUUGUGGGGAACAACACCUAGCCAGUGAAGGAUGACCUCCGCUGCUCAGAGUAUAGAUGAAAAAUACGAGGGACUGUAGAUUGAGAUAGCAUCCCUAAAAGCAAGAGAUGCUGAUAGAGGGGCUGGAAUGUCAUCAUUGAAAGAAACUGUGGUGCAGCUGAUGUCCUCCAUGACAAAUCCGAAAGCCACAAUAUCAGGUCAUUCAACUAAUCUCAACCCGAACCAACCGGCCUCAUCAUCAAGCUAGGGACACUCAGCGAAAAAGGGGAAGACUACAACUUGCAGGAGUGCUGGGGUUGUAGCAGAGAUGGAUUGAGCUAAAUGGAGGGAUCUUUUUUUUUUUUUUUACCUGAAAAAUUGCUUUCAUUUUGAAAACAUACGUAUAGUUUGGGUACAGUUGUUAGAUUUACUUGGCUAACCUUAGAUUGAAUUUCACUUGUAGCACUUUAUUUUUUUGGUUGAAUGUCAUAUCAUCUCUUUCAUUAGAUUGGUUUUGCUCUGAUCUUUCAAUCAUUCUCUAAUUUAAUUUUCAGCAUCUUACUUACUUUCAUUUGUGGAUGAUCUCGGCUUCCGCUUAGAUGAUUUCUAUAUCAGAUGGAAGCUGCAUUUAUUCCAGAAGUUAAUGAUGAAUUGGAUACUCAAAACUUCAACAAAUUUGAAGAGUCUGAAACCAAAUUCAAACUUCAUCAAAAUCAGGACCAUGGAGGAAUGUAAGCCUCUACAGUAUAGGCUUCAUCUAAACAACUGCUUGCUUGAAAUACAUGACAUGAAUCCUUCUCCGUUAUGAUGGGAUCUAUCUUACAAAAAUUUCAGUGGAGAUUUGCCAGUCUCAUUCAGUAAUUUGACAAAUCUUAACAUUCUUCAUUUACAGAACAACCAAUUCACCGGACUGGUAAUCUUCCUGGCUAAGCUUCCACUGUCUGAACUUAACGUCCAAAACAACCACUUCAGUGGUGUUGUCCCAAAGCAUUUUGAAACCAUUCCAAAUCUCAGUAUGGAGGGAAAAAGUGAGAGCCACCAUGUAGAUAUCCUGGAUUAAAAGUGAAUGGCCGUAUUAAGCAUUUGAUCGGGUUGAUGGCUCUUUCUAUUUGCAGGCAAGCUUUAGACCUCUCUGACAGCCUCAUUCAUGAUAACCUGAGGUUGAGACUUGUAUCAGGCUAUUUUGCACUUGUGUCAGUACAGUAUGACAAGAAACUCACUGAUUAUUUCAGGAUUUGGAUGAAGUCUUACCUUCUAACAUAGCAUGAGCUAUGACUUACGAUUACGAAUUCUCAUCUGGUUUUUAGUUAAGUCUAGAGAUUAAUU